UACGAAGGGGGCUAGCGUUGUUCGGAAUUACUGGGCGUAAAGGGCGCGUAGGCGGUACUUCAAGUCAGGCGUGAAAGCCCCGGGCUCAACCUGGGAAUGGCAUUGGAAACUGGCGGGCUUGAGUGUGGCAGAGGGGGGUGGAAUUCCGCGUGUAGCAGUGAAAUGCGUAGAGAUGCGGAGGAACACCGAUGGCGAAGGCAGCCCCCUGGGCUGACACUGACGCUCAGGCACGAAAGCGUGGGGAGCAAACAGG
rnacentral:rRNA from 1 species